UAUAAUGUUAUAAUAAUGUUCACAUAUAAAAACGUACAAACAUUAUUACAGUUUGUUAUCGUGUAUUGCGGAAAUAUUCUAGUCUAGCGGAAAGAAUGAUUUUUUGCAUAUUUUGCAAAUAUUUGAUAUAGAAAAUAUGUCUGCAAGAAGAUUUAGCUCGAUUCACAAAAUUGAUAAAGUUAUAGCACCUGGUAAGGAGCGAUUUCCGCCGCGCGCUCAGCAUUCCGGCUGCGUUUUGGUUAGGUUCGGCUAAUGAAUUGCUGAAACGUUGUUUAGGAGAAACACAAAAUAAUAACUAAAACUUUUUAAAUGUAUUGAUUUGGAUUUUUGCUCCAAAACAUCUUCAUUCUGGGGCAAAGAUUGAAGUGGCAACUUUUCUGCAUGCGGAGAUGUACGCAAAUUUUCGGAAGAAAACUCGCACGAAACGGCGUUCAACUGAUUUCCUUAAAGAUAAGAGAUUAAAUCGCAGGGAAGAGAGAACAGCGCAGUAAGACUAUUAUAUGCAGGAAGAAGGUCCCCUGCAUGGCCCUGCACUAGCUGAUUGAUAAUUUUAGAAGCAGAAUAGCCAGAAUCAUAAGAGCCAUGCCAGAACAGUCAUCAUAAGAAUACAUUUUUUUUAUUACCUUAUUCAAUUUUGUGUAUUACAUUUAUUUAUAAUUAUUUUUUAGUAAAAAAAUUUGGAAAUAUACUUCAAGUACAUAUAAGUUUUUGGGAUGCGGUGAGAAAAACCACAUCCCAAAAAACUUACUUAAAAAAAUUUGAAAAAGUAACAUAAAAAUUCAGCUUCUAGACUAGAACACUCUCUUAGUACCCCUUUGUGUCAACAUAACAACGCAAAGUAGAAGACAAAUAAUGAACUAAAUAAAUAAAAAAAAUAAUAGAAAUUGCUAUACUGGUCGAAACGUUAAAAUUGUAAAAAAUAAUACUAAAUAAAUCCUGUCGGAGCAAACAUGAUUUUUUGAAGUAACGAAAUUUUCGAGUGACAAUAUAAAUAAAUUACGCAUUGUACAAAUACACUUAAUUUUAAUAAGA
rnacentral:lncRNA from 1 species